rnacentral:rRNA from 1 species
CACACUGGGACUGAGACACGGCCCAGACUCCUACGGGAGGCAGCAGUGGGGAAUAUUGGACAAUGGGCGCAAGCCUGAUCCAGCAAUGCCGCGUGUGUGAAGAAGGCCUGCGGGUUGUAAAGCACUUUCAGUGGGGAGGAAGGCCUCAAUGCUAAUAGUAUUGAGGAUUGACGUUACCCACAGAAGAAGCACCGGCUAACUCUGUGCCAGCAGCCGCGGUAAUACAGAGGGUGCAAGCGUUAAUCGGAAUUACUGGGCGUAAAAGGGUGCGUAGGUGGUUUUUUAAGUCAGAUGUGAAAUCCCUGGGCUCAACCUAGGAAUUGCAUUUGAUACUGAAUAACUUGAGUAUGGUAGAGGGAAGUGAAUUUCCAGUGUAGCGGUGAAAUGCGUAGAUAUUGGAAGGAACAUCAG